rnacentral:rRNA from 1 species
UACGUAGGGCGCAAGCGUUGUCCGGAAUUAUUGGGCGUAAAGAGCUCGUAGGCGGUUUGUUACGUCCGCUGUGAAAACCCAGGGCUUAACCCUGGGCUUGCAGUGGAUACGGGCAGACUAGAGGUAGGUAGGGGAGAAUGGAAUUCCCGGUGUAGCGGUGAAAUGCGUAGAGAUCGGAAAGAACACCAACGGCGAAAGCACUCUGCUGGGCCGACACUGACACUGAGAGACGAAAGCUAGGGGAGCGAAUGGG